UACGUAGGGGGCAAGCGUUGUCCGGAUUUAUUGGGCGUAAAGAGCGUGUAGGCGGCCUGACAGGUCUGCUGUGAAAACUCGAGGCUCAACCUCGAGAUGUCGGCGGAAACCGUCUGGCUAGAGUCCGGAAGAGGCGAGUGGAAUUCCUGGUGUAGCGGUGGAAUGCGCAGAUAUCAGGAGGAACACCGAUAGCGAAGGCAGCUCGCUGGGACGGUACUGACGCUGAGGCGCGAAAGCGUGGGGAGCGAACAGG
rnacentral:rRNA from 1 species